AUUGAACGCUGGCGGCAGGCCUAACACAUGCAAGUCGAGCGGAUGAGUGGAGCUUGCUCCAUGAUUCAGCGGCGGACGGGUGAGUAAUGCCUAGGAAUCUGCCUGGUAGUGGGGGACAACGUUUCGAAAGGAACGCUAAUACUGCAUACGUCCUACGGGAGAAAGUGGGGGAUCUUCGGACCUCACGCUAUCAGAUGAGCCUAGGUCGGAUUAGCUAGUUGGGGAGGUAAAGGCUGACCAAGGCGACGAUCCGUAACUGGUCUGAGAGGAUGAUCAGUCACACUGGAACUGAGACACGGUCCAGACUCCUACGGGAGGCAGCAGUGGGGAAUAUUGGACAAUGGGCGAAAGCCUGAUCCAGCCAUGCCGCGUGUGUGAAGAAGGUCUUCGGAUUGUAAAGCACUUUAAGUUGGGAGGAAGGGCAGUAAGUUAAUACCUUGCUGUUUUGACGUUACCAACAGAAUAAGCACCGGCUAACUUCGUGCCAGCAGCCGCGGUAAUAC
rnacentral:rRNA from 1 species